GACGAACGCUGGCGGCGUGCUUAACACAUGCAAGUCGAGCGGUAAGGCCCUUUCGGGGGUACACGAGCGGCGAACGGGUGAGUAACACGUGGGUGACCUGCCCUUAGCUCUGGGAUAAGCCUGGGAAACUGGGUCUAAUACCGGAUAUGACUCCAUGACGCAUGUUGUGGGGUGGAAAGCCUUGUGCGGCUAGGGAUGGGCCCGCGGCCUAUCAGCUUGUUGGUGGGGUGAUGGCCUACCAAGGCGACGACGGGUAGCCGGCCUGAGAGGGCGACCGGCCACACUGGGACUGAGACACGGCCCAGACUCCUACGGGAGGCAGCAGUGGGGAAUCUUGCGCAAUGCGCGAAAGCGUGACGCAGCAACGCCGCGUGGGG
rnacentral:rRNA from 1 species